ensembl:lncRNA
CACAGCCAUGCUGGAAGCUGGCCUCGGUCUGCAAGGGCUGGGUCUUGGAGGCAGAUUCUCCCGCUAAGACCCGCCCGGGGCUGCCAAUGUGAUUCCGCACUGUGAAAGAGAGAAAGGUGCCCCAGUCAGCUGUGCGUGGAUCUCUGACUCAGAAACUAAGACAAUGCAGCAGGAGUGCAGCCAGACAGGCAAUGUGGCACCCCCUUCAGCCCACGCUGCUGCAGAUUUGAAGAGAGGGCACCCUGGAGCGACAAAGAUCAGGAAGAGAGAGAGGGAUCUGGGGCCCUUAUUUGUACACCCAGCAUUCUCCCUCACGGACACAGGCCUGCAAGCUGCUUUGUAAGUAGCACUUCCCAGGGACUUCUUGGGUUUUGGUCUAGGAGAGUGCGAUAGCCCUUGUUUCAACUGGAGUAAGAAAUGCACCGCUAAUGAUUAGCGUAGCUCUGGGUGUGGCUGAAAGGAUUUACUGAAGACAGAAGACCCGCCUUGGGUGUGAGUGGCCCCUACCAACAGGCUGUGUCCCGAACAACAACAACGGAGUAAAGAAAGGAACAAAGAAGGAAGCCUUACUUCUUCAAGGCAGCUCCAUUCUCCACCCUCACCUUGGAGCUCAUCUGCUGGCUUCCAGCACGCAAACAGCCCUUUCACAUCUUCCACACCUGACUUUGAAGCAUAAGCCCUGUUAAAAUAAUGACUCACCUUGGAGGUCCUGUAAACCUGUUCACGAUUUAUUUCUUGGGUAGUGUGGGCUCCAGAAGUCCUGUAAAUCCACUUGGGACUUGUACCCUGAGUAGCACAGACACAGCGGUCAUUUCCAAAGAAAGAGAAGAAACACGAAGAGCUGUUGAUACCAAAGAGCUCCAGAGACCAGCAGCAGAGACCAGGUGGUGGCCGGCAGUGGCAGUGACCAGCACCCAUUAGAGCUCAUUUACAGUGUCCAGCCUAAGCUGGUGCUGGAAGGUGAUAGCUGGCAGCAGCUGGCUGCAUCACCUGUUGGCAUCUGGUGAAAUCAGGGCUGCCAGCAGAACUGCACUUUGCCAAGUCAUAAUUUCCAUAUGAAUUGAGCAAAAGAACCCUUGGCUGAUUGCCACCAUAGCACCUAGUUCAUGGUCUUUCAGAUGAGAGCAGGCUCACCAAACAGAGGAUAAUCAACUGUAAUUCUGGAAUUGGUAAAGAGCGAAGCAGUGAGUAAGACCUCUGCAGACGCCCCUGUGCCUGGAGGAGGGGCUAGGGGCUGUCAGCAUCUCCUGUGGGGCUCUAACUGCAAGUCGUGAGCCAAGCAUAAGGACCCUAGGAAGCCCAUUGCUGACCUGAGUGCUUCCUCCCGAGGCUUCCAAAGUCACCAAGACGACAGCUUUGCUGCUCACCAUGACAGGCAUGCCCUGGCAGCUGGCCAUGCCACCGCAGCUCCACCUGAUGACCCCAGGGAAUGGAGGGGAACCCCCAUGCUCGCUCACCUUCCCUGCAUGGGGUAAUUCAGAGAUGCUGUGUGGUCAUGCAGGUGCUCAUGGGGGAAACCACUCACUUCACCCCCAAAAUAAAUCCCUUGGACUCAAAUCCUCCUCUUAAAGUUGUCUUCUGGGAAAACCCAACACAGGACGCUAGAGGACGAGGAACCGUGGAAGGUGAUAGAGUUCUCUGCUAGAUAAAAUGGUCCCAACAACCCUGCAUCCUAAAAUGGCCCUGCCUACAGGAAAUGAGUCACUCCAGAGAGAACAAAGACCUGCUUUUUCCCCACCUCACCCCGAGUCGUAGCCAAUCAUCUGCCUCUACCACACUACCCCCAGUCCUUAUAAACCUCACCCAGCCAGCCCCAGGUUGCCGCUCUUGACGUUGUUCCAGACAGCCCGAUAGCUCUGUCCUUUGAUAAAAGCCUUGCCUUGGGUGUUCAUGAUUCGGCUCAUUUUAUUUCUCUCAGAAGGAAAAGGCACGGUCUUGCCUAGAAAGUCCCUGAAGUCAUCUUGCUCAGGCACUGGGGAAUCUGCACCCAUUCCAGGGUGAUGAACAGAAAGAUGAAAAUGCUGUGCUUAAGAUCUGCUUCAUGCAGAGACUGGACUCAGUGGAGAAGAGGACAAGCUGCCCGGCCAUGGAACAGGAAGGCUGGAGAAGCAGCAGGGGAG